rnacentral:piRNA from 1 species
GCAGGAGGAUCUCUGAGUUUGAGGCCAGCC